rnacentral:rRNA from 1 species
GGUGAGUAACACGUGGGCAACCUGCCCUGCAGACUGGGAUAACUUCGGGAAACCGGAGCUAAUACCGGAUAACACCGAAAACCGCAUGGUUUUCGGUUGAAAGGCGGCUUUUAGCUGUCACUGCAGGAUGGGCCCGCGGCGCAUUAGCUAGUUGGUGAGGUAACGGCUCACCAAGGCGACGAUGCGUAGCCGACCUGAGAGGGUGACCGGCCACACUGGGACUGAGACACGGCCCAGACUCCUACGGGAGGCAGCAGUAGGGAAUCUUCCGCAAUGGACGAAAGUCUGACGGAGCAACGCCGCGUGAGCGAAGAAGGUCUUCGGAUCGUAAAGCUCUGUUGUCAGGGAAGAACAAGUACCGUUCGAACAGGGCGGUACCUUGACGGUACCUGACGAGGAAGCCACGGCUAACUACGUGCCAGCAGCCGCGGUAAUACGUAGGUGGCAAGCGUUGUCCGGAAUUAUUGGGCGUAAAGCGCGCGCAGGCGGUUCCUUAAGUCUGAUGUGAAAUCUCGCGGCUCAACCGCGAGCGGCCAUUGGAAACUGGGGAACUUGAGUGCAGGAGAGGGGAGCGGAAUUCCACGUGUAGCGGUGAAAUGCGUAGAGAUGUGGAGGAACACCAGUGGCGAANGCGGCUCUCUGGCCUGUAACUGACGCUGANGCGCGAAAGCGUGGGGAGCGAACAGGAUUAGAUACCCUGGUAGUCCACGCC